CUCUACAGCCAUCCCACCGUGAACAAGCCUGAUCCCGUCUGAUCUUGGAAGCUAAGCAGGGUCGGGCCUGGUCAGUACCUGGAUGAGAGACCACCUUGGAAGACCAGGUGCUGUAGGCG
rnacentral:rRNA from 1 species